UAGCAGCACGUAAAUACUGGAGUUGAGAUCCCUGUGUCUCCAGUAUUGCCAAUGCUGCUCUA
rnacentral:pre_miRNA from 1 species